rnacentral:lncRNA from 1 species
UUUGUCUCAAAAAAAUACCAAAAACCAAAAACAACAAAAACAAAAAACAUCAAAAGACUAUGAGAAACAGUGAUUGGAUGUUUGGGGUGUGGAUAUCGGAAUCUGGAGCUGGGGACAGGUGUGUCAUUUGAUAGUCCCUUUUGAGAACCACUGUUGAUCUAAAGCUAUUCCAGUUCCCUAGGGGAUUGCUAAUAACCGGUGCAGCUGCUGAGACAGGGAAAGGGGCCUAAUUCCUUUUGCAAAACAAGGAGCAAUAUUUAUAUGAGAACUCAGUACAUUUCAUCACAUAAAAAUUGCAAAACGCCAGGCUCUGUCAUUUUUAAACUAAUAUUUUUGGGAGUCCACCAAACAGUCUCUAAGAUGGAACUGAUUGUGAAUAUGCUGGUGCCAGGUGCAAUGGCUCACACCUGUAAUCCCAGCUACUUGGGAGGCUGAGGUGGGAGGAUCACCUGAAGCCAGGAGUUCGAGGCCAGCCUGGGCCUCUCUAAAAAAAAAAAAGCUGUAAGUCAAAUGAUAUAGCCUCUAGAAGCCACAGUUUGCUCAUUUACAAACUGGAGGAGAAUAAGAUGAGAAUUGUCUGAUAUUGAGGAUCAGAAAGUGCUUCAUGAUGCAUAAAGCAGGUAAUGGAUUAUCAAUGCUUUGCUGCUCAGACACACAGCAAUGGGUUCAUACCAUUCUGAGAGUCUAAAUUUAGGACGUGGUGUGACCAAAAUUACCAGUAAUUAAGUUUCUUAUGUUUCUGAGGCUCUGCUUCCUCAUCUGUACACUGUGGCAAGACCUUGUUCUGACUAUGCACUGAGGAUAAAAUAAGGCCUUUUGAAAAAGAUGAUGACACUGACCACUAAUUAAUGAUUUCAAUGUUCCCGUCCAAGGUCAGGCAAAAGCAAUGCAGAGCCAUAGAGAAUGUUGGUGCAACACUGCCCUCUGCUGGUCAGUAGCAGCACCACCAUGGUUACAGAGAGGAAAAGGUCUUUACAAAGGGAUUCCUGGGAAACUGAGGCAGAGAGUGGAAGGGAUUUGCUCAAGGGCACAGAGUUAGCUUUGGACAAAGUGAUGGCUCGAAUCUGAGAUUCCUAAUUCCUAGUUCUUUCUAGAGGGAGAAAAAUAAGGGCUGGAAACUAGUGGAUUGUCGUUUCACUCUCACUAGGCUCUGCACGGCAUUUUAAAUAGGCUGAUUGGAAUUUCUCUCUCCUGUUCUUCCCUUGCCACCCAAACUGCUCGGGUUUCUUGUCCUUUUCUUCAUACCAGGAUAACCAUCUGUGUGGCCCCAUAAGGCCCAAAGUCCUCUUGGGUGCUGCCGGAGGUCCAACAACCAGUAAAGCACGGAAGCUGGGAUCUGAACACUCACUUGAGACCCCAAGGCCCACAAUCUAUUUGCCACCAAAAAACAAGACAAAGCAAAACACCAUGACAGGAAAACCGAGUUGCAGACAAAUGAAAGUGACUUACCUCAGGGCCUUUGCAUGUGACAUCCUCUCUGCCUGGAAUGCUCUUCUCAGAUAUCACCUUGGCAUCCCCCAUCACCUUCUUAAGGUCUUCACUUAAAAGUCAUCAUCUGGCCGGGCGCGGUGGCUCACCCUGUAAUCUCAGCACUUUGGGUAGGCCAAGGACUGGAUCCUGGACCUGCCCCUGGGACUUGCGGAAGGGGACAGCUCAAUCUGAGCCAUAUCAACUGAGAACACAGGAAGCAUGGUCCUACCAAGAGAUGUCUAUUCCAGGUGGGCAGAACCAAGGUGCCCUCCCUACACCUUCCUGGGGCCUCCAGCGAUCCUGAGCUCAGCCUCCUGACCUGCAGACCCCUCAGCUCUGGCCCUCACGUCCUGCUUGCUGUACCUGCUUUAUCCCAUAUCACCAUCUCCAUUCCUCAGCAUAGUGACAAUCCCAGUUCCUACCCAUUCCACUGGCUUCUCCAUUUGGCUUGGAGCUCUUUAGCUGGAUUGAGACGACUACUCUGAUGAGUGCCAUGUCACUGGCUCAACAAAAUGGGCCCAAGUGAGUCAAUGUCAUUGACAUGAAGGUGCUGUCAGUUUGGUGGGAACCAAGGGAAUGAGACUGUGUUUUAGCUGCGUUCGUUUGAACAGUUACACACUUAGGGCUUCUUAUGCGGAUGCUCAGAGAGAAAUAUGGAAGACGAGAUCUCGUAGAAAACAAGAAGACAUGUUGUAAAUGAGUCAGGCCUCCUGGAGUCCAGGACUAGGGAGGAACUCUUUAUUGAGGAUCACUCGAGGGAGUCUUGGGGCUGGUGGUCUUCACGCCACAGCCCCAUAACUCAGCUCCUCUCUUCCUUCUCUCAGUCUCUCUGCUUCUGUUUUUUGUCUCAUGUCCUAAAUGUCCAACUAUUCAGCAUAACUUUAUUCUGCUUCCCCUCUCUAUCCUCUGUAGCAAAAUGCACUGUUGGAAUUACAUUUUUAUUUUUAUUUUUAUUUU